AUUGAACGCUGGCGGCAUGCCUUACACAUGCAAGUCGAACGGUAACGGGCCUUCGGGUGCCGACGAGUGGCGAACGGGUGAGUAAUACAUCGGAACGUGCCCGAUCGUGGGGGAUAACGAGGCGAAAGCUUUGCUAAUACCGCAUACGAUCUACGGAUGAAAGCAGGGGACCGCAAGGCCUUGCGCGGACGGAGCGGCCGAUGGCAGAUUAGGUAGUUGGUGGGAUAAAAGCUUACCAAGCCGACGAUCUGUAGCUGGUCUGAGAGGAUGAUCAGCCACACUGGGACUGAGACACGGCCCAGACUCCUACGGGAGGCAGCAGUGGGGAAUUUUGGACAAUGGGCGCAAGCCUGAUCCAGCCAUGCCGCGUGCAGGAUGAAGGCCUUCGGGUUGUAAACUGCUUUUGUACGGAACGAAAAGCCUUCUUUUAAUACAGGAGGGUCAUGACGGUACCGUAAGAAUAAGCUCCGGCUUACUACGUG
rnacentral:rRNA from 1 species